UUUAAUUUUUAACUCUAUUUGUUGUUAUAUUACUUUUUUUUAUUCUUUUUUAUGUUUUUUUUUGUAAAAUGUUUUGAUUUUUUUGUAUUUUUUUGUAAUAUUUAAAAUUUGUUUUUUGAACUGGAUUAGUACCCAGGUAAUCAAAGUUUAUUAAUUCGGGAGUAAAGUUUUGUUUAAACCGAAAAAAUAUUGACUGACUUUAGAUUUUUCUUUGGAAUAUGUGUUUUUGGAGAGCCCUCUUUUUUGGUGAAUUUUAUUGGCACAUGUAUGAUUGUUUAGUUUUUAUGUUAUUUGUGUUGCUUUUUUGUUUUUUUGCAUUUAAAACAGAUAUAUAUUUGGCUUAUAAAUUUAUUUUUCAUGUAUUACUAUUAUUAAUUUUUUUUGGAUUUAUUUUUUAUUUUAUUUUUGAAAUUGGAAAAGAAAGUAAUUUUUUCUUUAUGUGUUAAUGAAUUUAAUAAAUAAAGUGGUACAAACCAUC
rnacentral:rRNA from 1 species